ACUGCCCAUAAGCAGUUGGCCUUCGCACAAAGGAGGGUGUCCAUGGAGGAGGGCAGUCUGUCUGUGCAGCAUAUUGUUGAGUGAUUGUGAAUCUGCAAGCCUGCAGUUUGAUUCAAGGAGAUUCAAAACCCGUGUCACUGCUGCCAUCUUCCUAGAAUCCCUUUAAAUCCUCAUGGAUUUGCUGACAUUGGGAGCAUCCUGAAAGAGUCCCCAUGCUAGGGUGGCUGCAGUAACAGGUACAAUGAGAAAUGAUGGUUCUCCCCACUCCAGAAAAAAUCAAAUCAGAUUGUGAAUUUAUUCCCUGACAUUAACACACGGCAUUACAGGAGCAUGUACAUCACAUGGUCAAUUUAUUGGCAUGAGGAUUAUGUCAUCGGGGAAUAAAUGGGAAAUUCUCAAGGAGAAGCCAAGUUGUGAGCAGUGCACCUUCACAAGCAAAGCCUCGACUGAAAUCUUCUCUAACAAUUGGCUGGUCACUCCUGAGCGUAAUCUACCCCUUCAGAACACUGGGGAUGAAUUUAGAGACAUCGAAGCCUCCUGAUGAGAAAUACGUGUCCACUCACCGGGAGAACUGAAAUACCAGGAGAUUUCUACACAAAUCUCACAGAGUCCUUCUGGCGUCCUAGGGGUUUGCUCACAUAUAAGGGACUUUCUGGUAGGAAGAGAGUCUCUUUACAUUCUUUAUUAUAUGAUCCUGGUGGCUUUGUAGAGAGAUGGUACAGCUGACAGAUCAUGUCCUGUGGGGCCAGGGAGUUGUGUGUGUGUGAAUGCUCUGUGAACUUGGGCAAACUACUUAGCCUCUCUGAGCCUUAGCUGCAUCAGCUUUGAAAAACAGGAUGAUAAAAUGGAGUCACCUUAUUUGACUUUUAUAAAUACACUUACACAAUUACACAAGUUGUGGGGAUGGGAAGAGAGAGUUGGGGAAAGAGAAAUGAGAGAGAGAGAGAGAGAGAAUGAAUGAUAAACAAUUUAAACAACAGUGGGGUGUAGACCAACGCCCAGCCUGGCAAGGGUGAGCCCAGAGAGCCUUCCCUCCUGGCUAUUGGCAGCCUCCGCAUGGAAGCCUGUCGUUGACUUCUUAAUGAUGAGAGAUGUUCUGGGGGCACUCCAGGAUUCUUGGACAUGGGAUCGUCUUCACAGCUGUGUCUAUUGAAAGCUGAAGUUUCAGUCUCCCCUGCCCCCUGCCCCCUGGAGUGGCUUCCCAGGGGAAAUUCAAGGGCACCUGUGACUGCAUGGCUGCUUUCCUUUCCUUUACUCAAUGCCGUCCUUUGGUGACAGCCGUGUCUCAUGCCAGGAUACAUGAGGUGCUCUAUAGUAGUAUGUUUUCCCUCCUGGGAGGUAAUUUUAUUUAAAUGUGAAGUCAAAAGGAUCACUAAAUAGAACCAUGAGGCAACCACUCUGGGCACCUGCCUGGUGAUAUCCACAAGAGCUGACCACAGGUGCCCCCUGUGCCCAGCAAGUCCUUGGCUGGGCAGUCACACAACAGGCAUGGGGAUGUGUGGCCACCAAGCCCUCCAGGGCAGUGCUAUUUGUAAUAGUCCCAAAUGGGAGAGAUGGCAAACGCCCGCCAAUGGGGCAGCAUGGAUAAAUGGAUGCUGCACAGCAACGGCGAUGAGUGAGCCCCAGCACCCGUGAGCUCACCAGUGUAAUAUUGGGUGGAAGAAGCCAGGAGGAAGGGCAUUCACAUUCUGUGAUUCCAGCUACACUAUGUUUAAAUAUGGGCAGAGCUAGGCUGUGGUGCUGGAAGCCAGGACAGUGGGAUCCUUGCAUGGGGGUGAUGGUGCUGGUAGGUUCUGGUAAUUUCCUCUUCUUGAUCUGGGUGUAAACAUUUUGUGAAAAUUCAAUGAGCUGUACAUUUAUGACUGGUACAUUUAUGACUUUGUAUGAAUAUUAUACUUUCAUAAAACUACUUUAAAAUAUGAUUGUGAACCUUUUUUCACCUAUUUUCUGCCAAUUAGCACCGAAUUGCUCACUAACUAAUGAGUGGUGCUGGUUUUGACUUGCUUGCUACACUGUCUUGAGACAGAUAGGGUUUUCUGUGCUUUGUAUGACCCCCUCUGGAACCAGGGUGGGACUGGGAACACUCGGAAAACAUGUGCUGACAGAUGCUGGGCAUCCCCGUGUUGGUGGAGGCAUGCUCAUUCCUCAGCAAAAUACCCAUAUGGGGUGUUGGCAGGAAAGAGGACAGAAAAGGACAAAGUAUUUGUCUCUGCUAGCGUUCCUGGAGCUGUCUCACCUUGGCCAAGCCCCCGCCCAGUCCUCUCCUAACGUGGACAGACUAGGGGGCAGAAACUAGUCAGCCAAAGAAUUUCCAAGCUAGGGGUUGAUGAAUGCUUGGAUAAUUUGCCCAUGAACACGUUGGAUUCUUCUUCACUUGCCAUCACGGGGGGAUAAGUACCCCAGUUUUUUUUUGGAGAGAAUUGAGGGACUGUGCCAUUGCAGUGUGGAUUUCAAGAGAUUUUAAACGGAAGGCAGAGUAACAGUGUGGUUUGGGAAGCUCUAAAGACAGUUGUCCUGGUGCGGUUUCUUCCAUAAAAGAGUGGGGACGCCAUGGACCUGCUCACCAAAUUCCAGUCCCGACACAGUUCUGUGAGGCACUCUCCACAUCAGGGCAGACGGGCAGGAGGAGUUUACACAGCGAUCUGGGGGCCAUUAGAGCACUGAGGGAUCCAUUGCUGUCUCUUGUUUCUGUUUCCCACACUGUGCUGGGUGCUGGGAACAUGACGAUGAACUUGAAGGAAAUAAUGUGUACGGUGGUUCAUUUCCAAGACAUAGUGCCUUGAAUCAGUUUAGGUCAGCAAACUACAGAAGAAACAGGAUAUACUAGGCCCCUGCUUGGAGAGCUGAUGCCUGUUUGUUGCCCCUCACCCCCUUAGUUGCCCUUACCAGAACCAAAGGAGUUUAGUCUAAGAUGAAAGUUUACUAGCCUGCAAAAUAGCUCACUUUGUCUGUUCUUAUCAGCCUGCCCAGCUACUUAGGUCAUAAGUGAAAUACUUGAAGAGCCCCUGAGCUAACUAGGAUUGCAAUGCAUUGUGGCUGCAACAAGAUGCAGCAAGACAACUGUAAAGAAAAUGCCUAAAACCCCUACCCACCAACCCAUAGGCGAUGUCCAGGAAGACUGUGACCUCCAUAGUACUCAGCAUUUGAGGAACUGGGGGAGGGACCUGUGCACUAGGGGAUAAAUUGCUUGUUGAAACUGUGCUGGGUGUGCCUGUCCAUCAGAUACCCUAUCUUGCAAGACUGUCG
rnacentral:lncRNA from 1 species